rnacentral:lncRNA from 1 species
UCUUCUUCAGUUCCAAUAAGUUCGAUUAUUCCCUUGUCCAAAAGGGAUUGAAAAGUGUAGUUUUCUCCCUUAGACUUGUCAAUCCUAUUUAAGUUCUCUACAACUAGGAGAGGACGUAAUAUCCUUCCAGCAUCGGAAAAUAUACGUACUUCUUUCAGUUGUUCAUCUCUUUUGACUUCUACCUAUAGUACAUGGAAAGAUUCAAAAGAAAUGAAUAUAUCAUAGAUCACAUAAGAUGAUCAGAGCAUAUGUUGCAAACGCUUUCAAAUAAAUAGUUUACAUUAAAAAACAUCUAUUGAAAUCCGUGAAAGUAGAUGGCAAUUAUCUGCCACCUGUGACGAUUACCAACAGAUAUGAGAUAUACCUAUUGGACGCAAAAAAAAUGCCCAACGAGUUAUAUGGUAGAUAUUAACUAUAAGUGGAAUAGAAAUUUUUGUUGGCUUAUAAAAGAGGCAAAUUCUAGCAAACACCAGUCACCAACUGACCAACAUACACGUUGAAAAUGAUUUCUUGGAAAUAAUUCAGAAAACAAUGACAAUUGACUGGACUGCAUCAAGGUGCCUUAAAAAAAUAGUUUGAAAUCUCAUAUAGGUCAAUCAAAGAAUUAUUUAGUGAAAUAACCUGAUGCAGAAACGGAUUCCUUCGUCGCUUGCGUCUCACGUUUGUGACAAAUGAAAGGGAAUCUUCACAAACUCCGACCCAUUCCCCAUCGAGAAAAAUUCUGUACUUCCCACAAAAAGAAGUAGAUGUAUUGUCCACCAAAUUCUCCAUUCCACAGCGAAACAAUGUGGGAGUUAUCGACUUCUUCGUGUUUAAGCUUACAAGUCCUGUGCCGGACAAAUUUUUAAUGAGCCCACAAUUUUCACCAUCUGGAGUGGAGAGAAAGCAAACCCUUCCCCAGUGAGAAGGAUGCCUGUCCAAAAAAAGAUACAUUAGACACUUUUAGAAAGUAGAAAAGAUAAUAAUUCAAUUUAUCUUUCCUCUUCAUUAUCCAUGGAUCCCAACCCGAGAUCAACUUCUAAACAAACUGUCAAGGGAAGGUAUUCACAAUCUCAUAAGCUCAUUCACAUUUGCACAUUUUGUAAAAGAAAGAACCCCAGGAAGUUUUUAAAAGUUGUUUCAAGUACUAUCUAUAAACUUGCAACUACAAGGCAGAGAGAUGAACCCCAUGACUUUUCAAAAGUAGCUGUUUGCUAACAUUUAGUACAACCUAUAGAUGAGUAGUACAGACAAGGCAGAAGUGUCCUUAGAAUCAAAGCUCAAAGAAGAGAAAAUCCACACAUUAAUAUAUCAACAUCAUAGCCAAUAAUACAAAAAGGCAAGACCUAUACGAAGUCAAGAUAACUCACGGGUAUCUUGCAUCACCAACUUUCCCAGUGUAUGCAACCUGUUGACGUGUUCUCCUCAAUUCCGCCAUUGUCUGCAAGGGAUUAGCACGACCAAGAGUAGCCACCACACCUGAAAUCCUUUCCAUCCUCUUAAAUGCAUGCGCCCAUGCUCCAGUAGAGAAUGCUCGAGAUAGACCAUUAGUGAUUAUGGAAGCAUCCAAAUAGUGUUCUAUUGGAUGCACUUGACGAUCCCCAUAGAGGUCCCUUUGUAAAGCUUUUUCCAUGCGUCUACGUGCAUGUGCAAUAUGUACUUUAAGCUCUCUUUCAAGCAGUUCUGCAGCCAGCUCAAACCUCUUAUUGCGAAAAUCAUCCCUAUUAUCACAUUUCCUACGGCCAGUAUAGGCUUGCAGAAGACAUUUAACCAUAUAACCAAGGAAAUGACACUUUUGCUUUGAGCCUUUCAAGCUGGCAAAAAGAUACAGGUUCAGACAAUCUUCAAUUUUAUCAGCAGGUGGGAAACUGGUCUUUCUAAUUUCAUUGUCCAAAAAAGUCAACGCUCUUUUACCUCUUCGAAAGUCUUUCCACUUAUCAUCAUUAUCAACUUCACGAACAGAGGCAAAAAGAAUAUUCAGAACAGUUGGAUCAUCUCUGCCAUAGUCAAUUAAAUCUACUAUUUCUUUGUCCGAUGAAACACCAAGUGCAAAGAAUAAAAUCCAUACAGGAACUUCUGUGGACAAAAAAUAUACAUUGAGGACUUUCUCCUUGCUUUUUAGAUCUUCAGACUUGGAAUUUUCAACUAGUCUAAUAAUUAGUCUAUUUCUCUUAACUUCUGAUCUGUAUGCCACAGUCCAGCCUUGAACAUUAGAAAUCCAGAGCCUUCUCAAACAAAUUUGCUCUUGAGCAAUAAAUAUCUGGAAUGACCAUGUAAACGAUAUUAAAAUUGUUAAAAAGAGAACAAAAGUUAACCACUUGAACUAAUAUGCAUGCGGAAUAAGAAAGAAAUAUCUACAAAAAUUUAACAUGGAGAAGUAUAUGGUAUAAUUAAUCAUUUUUACAAAAUAUAGAAAUAAAACUUUGUAGAACUAAUAUUUCUUGACUAAAUUUUAUGUCCCAUCAGGAGGCAGAUGACAAGCCUGAACGAGCAGAUAAUUAAGCCAGUAAUGGCUCCCUUUUCCAGGAGAGCUACUUUUUGAGAAAUACCAUAGUCUGAUUUUCAAAGUAUGCAAGGUAAUGUUGCGUUAAAAAAUAAUAACACUUAAGUAAAACUCAAUACAGUAACAUACAGAUGCCAAAAAUAAAAACAGCUCAACAGUUAAGGUAUUUCUCCUUACUUCAAAAUGUCAUAGGUUUUAGUCCCAGAAGUGAUGUGAAUAUUUUAUCCUCAAAAGUAAUAAUAAAUAAUAAACAGAUUAUAAGAAACACGAUGUCAACUUGUCAAGUAAUAAUAAUCUCUUCAAACAAACAAUCCACUAAAAGUUUUGAAAUGAUUAUUUUAGAAUUCAGAAAAAUAGUGAAACUUUGUUUACAGAUAAUACAUAACUUUAAGGGGACCUUGUUUCCUUUUCAAAAAAAAAAACACAACCAUGUUGGGGAAAAUGAGGGAGGGAAAUUUUCCGUGGGAAAUGUACUCACUUUUUCUGCACCUUUGAUUAAAAAAUAACCUCCACGAUCAAAUUCACAGUCACGCUUCUGCCCAUCCUUCAUCCAGCAGAGGUCAGAAUUCACCAUCACAGGUAGCCUGCCGAUAAAGACAUCCCUGUUGUCGCUGGCACCUUCUACAGGUUCCUUGUCGACAUAUUGAUCUUUUCCAGUUUUAAAUUUGUCACUGCUGACUAACUUUUGAGUAUAUAUCUAUUACAUUACAAGUAACCAACAAACUCAGGGCCCACAAGUCAUCAACAAGUAUUUUAUCAGGUAUAAAGGUUAAGAAAAAGCAAGAACACAGUAAAAAUUACAUGGAAAUUCCAAUCACCUCUAAACUGAUAUUUAUUUUCAUCCUUGAUGAAUAAGUCAUGUUCUGAAGUCGAGCAUGCCUAGGAAGCAUGUUAUACUCUUUUCCACUUGCUGCACCACCCCAGAACUUUGGCUUAUCGAGGGUUACCUUACCAAACUUCACUGUAGCAUAUCUCCACUCCCCAUCUCCUUUCUUAGAGGGGUCAUAUCCUGGCUGAACUAAAAUGUCACCAAAAAAAUCAAAGGCCUUCUGAAUACCAUUUUUUAUGAAGUCAUUGUACGAGUUGAUUUGGUGACUGAUAAGGCCGUACUGAUUAAAGAAUGCCAUUGAUGACUUCUUACAGAAGUCCUUCAGAAAUGCUUCCCCCAAAUCAUGUAUGUUGACUGGCUCAGAAUAAUAAUCAUCAUCAUCAUCUGUAUCCAAAUCCAUUCCAGGUGAUAAGUCUUCCCCCUCGCUAUUCAUCUCUAUAUCGUCCUUUGCACCUGAUGUCCCCAUUAUUCUCAAGGUCUACGACAAGUAAAGACAAACUUAAGAAGCAGAUACAAAUACCUAAAGUUUCUCGAACAAAUAAUAUCACGAAAGCUAAUGAAAUGUCUACAUCGAACAGGCAGAGUGAACAGAAACGUCUAUCAAACGAACAGUGAAUUCACAAUGUUGCUCUUGGAUAAAAGUUAAUCAACAUUAUGAUCUACACAUAUUUACGGCCCUGAGAAAUAAGAAUCAAAACAAAAUCGGAAGUAAAAGCUAAACCAGUAACCAGUAGCAACACCGGCACCAGUUCACACAUACGCUACACUCACUGAACUCCCUAAAUGAAACAAGUCUUCACACACUACGAUGCUCUAACCAAAUCUACGCUACGAAAUCCAAAGUAAAAGCUAAACCAGUAACCAGUACUAGUUCACACAUGCGCUACACUCACUGAACUCCCUAAAUGAAAGACCUCAUACUAAGAUGAUCGAAACACAUACUGAAAACUCCACUAUACCUAAACGAAAACAGCAGCAAAUAACAUUUCAUGCGAUCACGCAGGCAAGAGAUUCAAAUACCUUGAAGAUUAAACCCUAGGCAAGUUCCUGCGGACGAGUCCACCAGCUUAAUCCGUCGGACGAACGAUCAGAAUGGAGAGUCCAGGCAAUGCCGUCGAUCCUCGGUUGAGUCAGACGGCGGUUCCGGAGAGGAGACGAUCAGAUUGUGCUGCGGAAGCAAAAAAUUGGAAGAAAAUGGAGAGAAUUAGCGUUGGUAGAUGAGAAGAAAUGGUGAAAGAAGCAUGGAGGAGGAGAAGAGAGGUGAGAAAAAAAAAAAAAAACCUUUGAACAAUGACAGUAAGGAGUAAGGAAAACGAAAAAGACGCACGCAUCCUUCGUGUUCUUGGGAGGGAAAUGAAGCUGGGAGACUCAAGCUAUAUAUCAAUGGUUAAUACGAAGGAAUACGAGGGGCAUUGAAGGCAAUUUGUUGUAAUGACAAAUUGAAAAGAAAACUCUUUUUUUUUAUAAAUAGCCAAAUAAAUUAAAUUAUUUACAAUUUAUAUCUAUUCGCUAUUUAUAUUAUUAACUAACCAUCAAAUUUUUAAUUUUGUUAUAACUCGUAAAUAUUUUAUUAAAUUUGAUAGCUACUUUUAUUAUUGACCGGCUAUCAAAUAUUUGUUAUUAAAUGUGAAAUUUUGCUAUGACUUGUAAGUAUUUUAUUAAAUUUGUUAUUUUUUACAAUUCUCGAAUUGCAAAAUCUACCCAUAUAACUUAUAACAUUAAAAAAUGGUUUACUAAAUUAUGCAAUGGUAGAAAUUGUAAUAGUUGUAUUUGUUUGAGUACAAUUUAAUUUUUAUCAUUUAGAGCUUUAUUUAUACUAUUGUUGUUAGUUUGAGGGUUCAGUAUUAACACUUCUAAUUGUAAAUGUUCGAGAGCAUGAUUUUACCAUUGAAAGUUUGAAGGUGUAAUAACAGUUAUCUUCUAGUACUUAGUUUGAUUUUUUCUAAUUUUUUUGUGUUUGUUGAAUUAUAAUCAUUGUGGCAUAUAAUGUUUAGUUAAGCUUGAAGAAUAAGGAUUUAAUGUAUUAUUAAUGUAUUUAUAUUUUAGUUUGAGCGAGGAAUAAGCGAAUUCAUACCUAUUCUUCAUCAUUGGAAAGAAAAAUUAGGUGAUUUUUAAUAAUUAUUACAACGAAAUUGAUUUGUAAUUAGAUUGCAUAAAUAAUGUUUAUUCUUACUAGUAGGAUACGUUUAUUAUUUUACUAUUUAAAAUUAAGCCUAUUUAGUCGUAAUUUUUUUCAUUGGUUUAUAUUUAAUAUUAAUGGACUCAAACGAGACAACUUUUUACUUUUUUUUUUUUAAUUAUGGAGACUUUAACUAAAAUAUUUAGUUUUGUAGAACGACUAGAGAAUGAGAUUUUUAACCUUAAAACUUGAGAGCAUAUUUCUUAACUAGUCAAACUGUGUUUGCUCGGUUAAAACUACAUUUAUAUAUUAUUAAAUAAUAUUAUUUAUUUUUACAUAAUUGUUAAACUUCCAUAAGCAUUUGGAUUUUGUUUAUAAGGUUAAUUUUCAAAAACCAAUUGGUUACCAAACAAGGUGUGGCUAAUAGGUUUGAACUUUACUAUUUUGAAUGUAGCUUCCAAAUUAAAAAAUAUAAAUCCAUGUUUCUGUAGAUUAUUUGUAGCUGUAAUAAACUUAACUCAACUAAACUAUAACAUGUGUUAUUAAUCUCGAAGUACAACAAGCAUGUAUUAUUGAUAUCGAGGUUAGCAAAUCAAUCUUCCAAGCCAAGCAUGGUGAAAGUAAAUAAACAAAAGGCACAAUUUUUUGUUUAAUCUAACUCUAUCUUCAUAAUUGUUGUGCCACAUGUUCUCAAAUGCUUUAUUUUAAGCCUUCUUCCAUUAUUCCAUUCAACCCUCAACACAAAUGGUCACUUAUCAUUAGCUCCCAAAUGGUUUAUGUUAAUAUUAUCCCUAGAGAUGUAUUGGAAUGCAUUACAUAUAGUUGUGGGAUGAAAAUUUGAUGCAGCAUUACAUCUUUUAAUGCAUUACAUAUAGUAAAGCAUUUAAAGAUGUAAUGCAUUACAUAUAGUUGUGGGAUCAAAAUUGACUAAGGCAUUUCAAAAGAUUGACGACGUGGAGAUUUCAAAAGAAGUGAUAAAUGAUCAUACGAUAAAAUUCUUGUUCAUUUUGAUCAUUACAUAUAGUUCUUAGAUAGAUUUAUUCAAGACGACGUAAAAGGUAUUCAACUUCAACUUCCUUGGUGAGUGGCAUUACCCAUUUGUCGUAAAGGAGAGAGGCAAGGGAUGGAUCAAUCUUAUGCUUUCCUCCUCCACUUGUGUUGUUGAGGGUUACUUCUUGCCCAAACACCAUAGCCUUCUUCUCUACUCUCUUCUUCACCUGCUCUUCCACUGCCUUAAAUGUUAAUAGCUCCAUCAAAGUGUCUCUUUCCUGAAAAAAGCAGUAAAUUAACUUGUUUUUAUCAAACCCCUCCGCUUAUACUGUAUCUCAAAUGUCAAUGAUUAUUCAAACAGACCAUACUCUUGGCAGGACUGAAGGUCCUUUAUCAUUUCACCAAGGAAAAGAGUCAAAUGACAGCCUAACAAUCAUGCAUUUCCAAAAUAUAUUUACAAUACCUGAGAACGAAUUGGACCCUCGUAUUCAUUGGGGGCGUCCCUAAAUUUCACCUCAGCUACGUAUUUUCCACAGUGAAUCCUCCUUGAAAGUGCCUGAGAUUGAUCGUGGGUUGUUAUACGUGUAAGAAAUAAUGUGAGUUAGCAUAGCUAACAAGACAUUUCAUACAAGGAAUCAACACAGUUGUAUUAGCAUAAAGAACCUAACACAAGGGACAAGUUUACACAUUGUCUUUACCUGCAAACAAGCAAGAUCACUGGCAGCAGUUGCUGCAUAAUUUCCAUCGUCGCCAUCAGAAACCAACAAUGGUAAGAAUUCUUUGAAAUAGAAAUCCCAUAUGGCUUUGUUCAUAUUAAUUGAAGCGCCUGAAGGAUGCAGAACCUGAAACCUUGGAUUAAUAUCCUACAAAUUCGAAGGCAACAAUGGAACCUUAUUAGACAGUCUCUCACCUUUGGAUACUUGUGAGGGUGCACCAAAGGACGAGGCAAAUUUUCUGGGAAGAACGGAUUUUCUUCAGGAUUCUCAUAUCUACCAGCCUGUUGACAAAAAUCCAAACAGUUAAUCGGAAGAAAAAACUUUCAACCUGAACGAGAAUCUCAAAUCCAACUGAAAAAGUAACGAUGAACCAAGAAGAAAACAUCCCAGAUUGGAACUGUUCUCUUGUAUUAUUAUAUAUAUACACAUGUGAGGGAAUGUCUAGCCAGCUUAAGAGCACCUUUACUAAUAUCACGGGAUCAUCUAUUUGACUCUACAAAUAUAUGGAUUAAUCCUAUGUAGGUAAUCACUGUGGAUUGACCUCAUUCCAUCUUACUCGUUCAACAAACACAUUUUUUUAUUUACUAUUAGGCCGAUCUACGAUGGUUUUGUGGUAUUAUAUCCCUAUGUAACCAAUAUUUGAAAUUCUUCCCAUUAAGAUUAGGAUGCAGGAGGUAAUGAGAGCCUGUAGCAAGGAUUUCAACUAUAUAAUUUCUAAGCAGCUAAUAGAGAAAAUGACAUCAGCCAAAUGGGAUUUAGAUUUCAUUCGUUACAGCCAUUUAUAUACAAUAGGUUUCGUUAUUCAAAAUAAUGGUCUAGCCUCACCUGCAUCUAACAAUUACAGGAACAGAACAUUGAUCGAAGAAAGAGAUAUAGAACAUGUCCUUCAACUAAUCGGUUUAGCCACUUUGUUUAAUCUCCUAUUUAUAUCCAAAAGCUUAAGUUUAUUGGUUGCAAAAAAUUUAUACAUAUGGAUACUCUAAACAUAUUCUCACAUACAGGGUUAAAGAUUUGAGACGAAAUGACACUACACGAGUUCAAACACAAAAUUGUUUGAUCUUAUGUUAUGUAAAUCACCAAUCUACCUAUAAGCUUAGGCCGAUGGCUAGCUAUAAAUUUAAUUAUACCACUAAUUUAACCUACGAAGAUCAAGAUUUCAAUCCACUUUCACAAUUGUGUUUCAACAAACUUCAAAGAGUGAUUAUACAACACUUGCUUCUACUCACACAAGCAAGUCAGCCAAAUCAAAAUAGCAUUGUGAAACCCGCAAUUGGGCAAUCUCACAACCAAGUUUCGAAGAAAUGGUUUCAGAAAACAUUUGAAAGAAGCAUUGGAAUAUUAGAAAGUAUGUUGAAGGGCUUCAAAGAAAAAUGAUAAGCAAUGGCAAAGCAACCAUAUAUCUCAAACGAACAAACAUAAACUUACCUUAGCUUGAACGUCCUCAGUUUCUCUCACAAUGAACUCAACCAAAGAACCAGAAAAUCCAGGAAUUGAAGCAUGAUUAUGAAGGUACAUCUUCCCAUUGAGAGGGAACCUAGCUCUCUCAAUGAGACUAAAAACAAUAGAAUCCUCCUGUCUUAUCAAAGAAUCUCUAAUCCCAUCAAGUGUCAAUGUAUCAGAAGCCGAAUUCGGGUUACAAUUAACAUUCGCCAUAGCUUCUCCAGGCAAUACCAAAAGAAAUAGGCAAAGAAACAACAUGGUCAAAGACAAAAUUGUCAGCCUCAAUGAUGAAACAACGAAAAGCCAAAGUUAUAAAUACAAAUAAACGAACGUAUACUAUAAAUACUACCAAAAAAAGCAGGUUGAAAUCUCAAAUUAUCAUUAAAACCCAACAAGUAAACAAGGAAAGUCCACGCCUCAAAAUGAAUGGCGUUCACAAGUCGCAAUGAAUGAAAAGGACGGCAUGAAAGGGUUGAAAUAGAUUAACAAAUAAAACGGCUGACCUGCUCGAUUCAAUUCAACUCCCUAGCUAAUUUGCUCUGCAAGUCAAAGAAGAUCGAAAUACGAGAGAAUUAGGAUAAAUGUCAGCGCUCGAAAACUUGUGGCUGUGGAGAAGAAGGACCGAAAGCACACGGGAAAAGCUCUGAAACGGUGAAUUAUUGGUAAAGCGAAAGGAGAAAUGACUUUUAACCUUAGUUAAAAAAAUGGAUUGAUGAGGAAGAAGAGAAGUGGAUGGUGACGGAGUGGGUGAACCGGCCGGCGUUGCCGGCGGUGGGAUGAUGUGGCGCGGCGUGAUUGGGCGAAGUAAUGGGAGCGAAAGGGCCCCACGCGGAAUUUUCCAAUUUAAAUGUGUACCGUUGAGUUCUUUAUCAAUUAUUGGUUCUUUGAUUCCUUUACUUUUUUUGUCAACCCGACAUGUCGUACAAAUUUAUCUCCCAAGCAUAAGGAUAACCAGAAGUGAAAGGAUUCUUUUAAAAAUAUGUAAUAUUUUUAAUUACAUAUCAGAAAAGUUUAUGAAACGUAUAAACAAACGAUAACAAGUUUUCUUAUUACUUACCUCGAUAUAAUAUAAAUAAUAGAUAUGUUAGUUUAUUUAAAAAUUAACAAAUAUAGUUCAAGUAAAAUUUUCUAUAUGUAUAUAUGUUAAAAAUCUUCUAAUUUAUAUUAAAAAACCAUAAAGUGUUUUCUUUUACCUAAAUUCACUCUCUUGUUUAGGUAACUAUGGUUUUUCCAACAAUAUUCAUUGACAUUCAUCUUUUAGAGAGGUUGUUAUGAAUUGCAGAAAAUUGAAAUUAUUUUUAGAAAUAAAACCUAAAUAGAUUUAGAAAUUUUGAUAGAUUGUGUUGUAUUUAUAAUUUUUUUAUUAUGUUUGAAAAUGCUAUGUCGUUUAAUUUUUUAUUUUUUUUGGAACGUUUCAAUCAAAAUUAUGAAACUACUCACAAAAUAUAGCAAAAUUUAUGAAACUAUUCACAAACUAUAGCAAAACUCUUCCCCAAUCCAUUAUUCAUAAAACUUACUUAACUUAUAAAUGAUUUAAUUAAUAUAAAAUUUAGUUUUGUAACGAUUUUAUUUCUUUAACUUUGUAACACCUAAGCAAUUAAGCUUCUAACCAGCUUCAUUUUUGGUAACCAUUUCAAUUUAUAGUUUUUUUCUUUCUUUUUUCUUUAAAUCUUUGUUUAUCAAAAACUAAAAAACCGAUUAUAUUAUAUACAUUUGGAAUCCAACUUUGUUUUAAUUUUUGAAAAACUUGCAAUCUUUCCAAUUCAUUUUUUCGUUUUCAACAUUCCUUCCAAACUCACCUGUUUUCUAAAAAUCAAUGUUCAAAUAAAAGAAAAAUUAGAACAAUCAACCAUUUUCCAAAGUUCAUUUUAAACUACUUCACGUUUAGAUCCAAAAUUGAAGUGCUUGGAAAACACCCAAAAGUCAAUGUUUUUUGCUCUUAAAAAUGGGACGAAAUUUAUAGCAAACAAUAUAUUAUUUAGAGAAACAACAUUUUUCUUCAAUCCAAUCACAACAAAAAGACAACCCAUGUGAAGUAGUUCCUGGUCCACUACUAUUUUUAGAACGUGAUAAACCUUAGAAUCACUUGGUAAAACAUAUCAUGACGAAUGUGACUCAUCACCAAAACUCCCAAGGGAAAAACAAAAACAAAAAAAGGUAAUCUAUUGUCACUUGGGCUUAAGAAAGAUUAAAAUCCAAGCAUCGGAAGAAGAAAAUUCAACAAUUAUUGAACUCAUAAUUGAGAAAAUGCAAAAUUAGAAGAUUUUUGUUUUCAAACAGUCAAAACAACCAAGUGUAGAAAGUUAUAUGUAAUUUCCAAAUCCCACCACUAACACAAAAGAAAAUUGAAUACAGUUCCAACUCUAAAGCACUAAGAGAACGAAUUUCAGGAGACAACUGAUGAUUUCGCAAAAAUUAUUCACUUCGAUUAUCAAAGUAAGCAUCCAAAAACCCAAUAACAUUACACCCAAUAUCAUAAAAUAACACAACAUAAAGCACAGUAAUGAUGCACGAACAAACCAUACAUCCUGGGCCAGAAGGUGAGAUGAGAUGAGAUGAGAAAAGAAGGGAGAAAGGGAAUGGAGGGACGAGAAGAAUGAGGCGUUAACAGAUACAGAGUCUGCUAAUUAAUUAUACCAUCAUUUAAAAGAUUCAAUAGAGGAAUUCGGCAAUAAAAAGCAGUCGAUGACCACAACUUUUAACUUUGUGUGCAACAAGACCUACUUCGGGCCAAUAUCCUUGAGGGCACAAAUUUGUUCCUCUCCCAUGGCAGACAUCACCGACACGACA